UUAUAUUUUUGAAAUUUAAAAAAUUUGGCGGUAUUUUAAUCUCUUUAGAGGAACCUGUUCUAUAAUUGAUAUUCCACGAUUAAAUGUACUUUUUUUAAUAAUUUAUAUAUCGUCGAAGAUAAAUAUUUUAAUAGAAUAAAAAUAUUUGAAAUAUUUAUUUAAUAUAGAUAUGGAAUCAGAUCAAGAUAUAGUUUAUAGAAAAGAAGAAAUGGGUUACAAUUUUUUUAUUAGUAGAUUUUAAUUUUUAAAAUUAAAUUAAAGAGGAUUUAAAAGUAAUAUAAUAAAUUUAUUUUAUAUAAAUGGAGUUCUAAAAUAUGUACAUAUUGCCCGUCACUCCUUAAUUGGAUAAGUCGUAACAAAGUAAUAGUACUGGAAAGUGUUAUUGGAAAGCAAAUUAAAGCUUUUAAAGUUUUUUAUUUACAUUAAAAAGGAAAAAUUUUUUAUUUUUAAUUUGAUAUUAAAAAGAUUAUUUUUUUAAUUUAAUUUAAGUAAAAUUUAUUAUAGUAUAAAAUUAGACUAAUUUAAAUGUAAUUAUAGUUAAGUAGUAAAGUAAUUUGAAUUUUAUAAAUAGAUAAAAGAAAAAUUAAAAUUUUGUACCUUGUGUCUCAGGGUUUAUUAAAUAAAGAAUUAUAUUUAAUUUAUUCUCGAUUUAAUAAGAGUUAUUAAUAUAUAAAUUUUUUUUGUUAUAUAAAAAUUUUUCAUAAAAUUAAUAGAAAUAAUAAGUUAUUCGAGUAUUAAUAUAUCUAGUUUUUUAAGAAAAAAAUUAAAUUUUUUAUAAUUAAUAUAAUUUUUAUAAUUAUUUAUAAGAUUAUUUAUUUAUUAAAAUAAUUUUAGGGAUAAGCUUAAAAUUAAACUUUAAGAUUUAAAUUUUUAUUAUAUAAGGUAUAGGGAUUAGAAGUGUUCAUUAGUGUAUUAUAACAAUUUAUUUAUUUAAUAAGAUUUUUAAGAAUUUUAUUUUUUAUUAGAAUAAAUUAUUUAAUAAUAAAAUUAUUUGUAAUAAUGAUAAAAUUAGUAUUAAUAUAAUUUAUUUAUUAUAAAAAUUUAGUAAGGUUAAUUUUAGGAAUUCGGCAAAUAUAGUUCUUGCCUGUUUAUUAAAAACAUGGUUUUUUGAAUAUGAUAAUAAAUUUGACCUGCUCAAUGAUUAAUAUUAAAUUGCUGCAGUAUUUUAACUGUACAAAGGUAGCAUAAUCAUUUGUUAUUUAAUUAAUAGCUAGUAUGAAAGGUUGGACAAGGGAUAAUCUGUCUUAAAUUAAAUGUUUAAUAAAUUUAUUUUUUAGUAAAAAAGCUUAAAUUUAUUUAAAAGACGAGAAGACCCUAUAGAAUUUUAUAUAUUUAUAUUUAUUUUUAUUAAGAAGGAUUAUUAAUAGAUAGUAUAGAAUAUAUUUGAUUGGGGCGAUUGAAAAAUUUAGUUAACUUUUUUAAAUUAUUCUCAUAUAUUUAUGUAUUUAUGAUUCAAUUUUAUUGAUUAUUAGAUUAAAUUACCUUAGGGAUAACAGCGUAAUUUUUAUUAAAGAUCUUAUUGAUAUAAAAGAUUGCGACCUCGAUGUUGGAUUAAAAUUUAUUAUUGGCGUAUAAGCUAACUAAUUAGGUCUGUUCGACCUUUAAAAUUUUACAUGAUCUGAGUUCAAACCGGAGA
rnacentral:rRNA from 1 species